UAUUUACGGUUCUUGUAAAAAAAGGUUGAGUACAUCACUAACUGCUGGAAAUGUGUUUACAUUCUGCAAGUGCUUUUUAUAGAUUUGAGGUUAUAAGUUCAAGUUUUAACCAAUUGUUAAACGAUUUAUCAGCAGUUUUGUAGAAAAAAACAGCUGCAGAACAGUUUUUUAACCAGUGAUAUUGACUAGAUUCCUGAUCACCAGAUACGCUUACACCAAGAAAACAAUUUGUUUAUCAGAAGUAUGGGUAAAAGGAAGAAAUCUACCAACAGUGCUACUGAUGGCUUAGUAGUUAAAAGCAAACGAGUCAACACUAAUACCGAUAAUCUCGAAUGUAGCGAUAGUGAGCCUAAAAAUGAAGAAACACAUACAACAUCUGAUGUCAAACAAAAAAGGAAAAAGAAAAACCUAUCACAGACAAAUCAAGGUCCUGCAAACAAAAAUAAAAAGAUAAUAUUCAAUGAUGACGAUGGUGAACCAGUAGAAGUUAAUAACACUACAAAUCAGAAACAACAAACUGAUCAACCGCAAUUUUCUCAAGAAAAUGAAGAAGAUAUUAAAGACGAGGAUAUUGAUAAGUUUUGCGAUGAAUUAAACGAAGAAGAUAACGAACAAUACGAAAACUGGGUUAAAUUGCUAGAAGAAAAGCUUAAUCCAAAUAAAAAAAAGCCUAAAUAAU